rnacentral:rRNA from 1 species
CAAUAGCGUAUAUUAAAGUUGUUGCAGUUAAAAAGCUCGUAGUUGGAUUUCUGGUAGGAGUGACCGUGCCAGACUUGAUUGUCUGUGUAUUGUGUUGUCUCCAGCCAUCCUUGUGGAGAACUUUUCUUGCAUUAAUUUGUAGGGAUUGGGACCCGCAUCGUUUACUGUGAAAAAAUUAGAGUGUUUAAAGCAGGCAAUCGCUUGAAUACAUUAGCAUGGAAUAAUAAGAUAGGACUUUGGUACUAUUUUGUUGGUUUGCAUACCAAAUUAAUGAUCAACAGGAACAGUUUGAGGAUAUUCGUAUGAACAUGUCAGAGGUGAAAUUCUUGGAUUUUGAUCAGACGAACUACUGCGAAAGCAUUUAUCAAGGAUGUUUNCAUUAA